AACCUGGGCUUGCAACUGGCAUCUGAAGUGAAGAGUGGUUUUGUGGGCUUGAGGCAUCUAGCUGUGGAGUCUGACUCCAUCUCUAAGUGCAGUGUCAGAGCUGAGUUCUCCAACACCCUGCUGGCAUCUGAGAAUUGCUUGUUGGUGUGGAAGCCUCCAAACACACAUGUUGGAAUUGGAUUCAGGAACCCUUUCACUCAUUCAUUUAUUUUAUCACUAAUUUAGUAAACGUUUACCGAGUGCCUGCUUAUAUUCCAGUCAGUGUUCUAAGUGCUGGUGAUAUAAUAAUUAAUGAAGUGUCAUCCUCUCAGGUUUUAUGGUAGCAAUGAAGAUGUGCGGGCAUGUUCAAUCACGUCUGACUCUUUGCAACCCCAUGGACUGUAGCCUCCUCUGUCCAUAGGAUUAUCCAGGUGCGACGAAUGACUGAGGAGAUAACACUUAGGCCCAGCCCUUCACACCAGAUAGAGACAACUCUCAAGGCCAUCACAACGCCAGAUCGCCAAGUGAGAUCAGCUGAGGCCUGCGCUGUAAACGCACGAUUGGUCAGCUCCUGCCUCUUGGUGCCUCCACCCUUAAUUCUUUACAGGGACCUUGUGCACGCUUUCUGGCUUGCUUGCUCUGCCUGGACCAUUGUCUGAGAAACUCAGGGAGAAAGGACUUCAGUGAUUUGUAUUUCAGGGCACACCCAGAAUCCUUUUGUGGCAGCCCAUGGUGUGCUGCAUACAAAUUGGGUAGCUCAGGGAUAUACUUCUAGGAGUAUAUUCUCAGAUGACCAAUAAAGGAUAUCAGGGAAAUAUACAGAUCUUAAGCAGUUUAACUGGAUAAAGGAACUAAGACUUACAGCCUCAGCAAUUUGUGACAUUUGUAAAGCCAACAGCAAUGAAAUUUGCAAGCUGGAAAACAGAUGGACCUGUAGUAACUGGCUGAGCAUACCUGAAAAAGAGGAAUCCUAAGGAAGUGGUGUUCUGAGGCCUGAGAAGCCUCCUGAUUCAAAGCAGAGAAUUAUCAAGAGAGUCAGGAGUAGGUAACACCACGUGCUUCCGGAAAUAAAAGUGAAGCGAGAGCAGCUAAAAUGAAGAAAACUGGGGGAAACUGCAAAGUAGUUGAAACUCUAGUCCCUCUUCCCUGCUAUCCCACUGGAUAGAAGACAAAGGACUCAUUUCCUGGAAAAGGUAAGACUGAGGAUCUUCGGAAUGAGCAUCAAGUGCAAUGAAUGAAAAUGUCGGUAUCACAUAGACAGUAGGAGAUGCAGUGACUAGAUGCAUCUGCAGGCUGGGUUAAAGUCCCCAGCUUUCUUUUUCUGUUGAACUCCCAGAAUUCUUACAGCUAGAACUUUACCCACCAAGUAGGAAAUGAAGAGAACAUUCUGGGGAAGGUGACCAGCUCAAAAGAAAAGGAAUAAAGACUCUAAUACUUGUGCUUCAUCCCCCUAGUCAAAUUUUAAAGUUCAAAAAUCACACACACAUGUUCAGUGUUUCCACUCAAA